rnacentral:rRNA from 1 species
UACAGAGGGUGCAAGCGUUAGUCGGAAUUACUGGGCGUAAAGCGUGCGUAGACGGUUACAUAAGUCGGGUGUGAAAGCCCCGGGCUCAACCUGGGAAUUGCAUUCGAGACUGCGUAGCUAGGGUGCGGAAGAGGGAAGCGGAAUUUCCGGUGUAGCGGUGAAAUGCGUAGAUAUCGGAAGGAACACCAGUGGCGAAAGCGGCUUCCUGGACCAGUACCGACGUUCAGGCACGAAAGCGUGGGGAGCAAACAGG